rnacentral:rRNA from 1 species
CCUACGGGUGGCUGCAGUGGGGAAUAUUGGACAAUGGGGGGAACCCUGAUCCAGCCAUGCCGCGUGUGUGAAGAAGGCCCUCGGGUUGUAAAGCACUUUCAGUGAGGAAGAACGCCUGGUGGUUAAUACCCAUCAGGAAAGACAUCACUCACAGAAGAAGCACCGGCUAACUCCGUGCCAGCAGCCGCGGUAAUACGGAGGGUGCGAGCGUUAAUCGGAAUUACCGGGCGUAAAGCGCGCGUAGGUGGCUUGAUAAGCCGGUUGUGAAAGCCCCGGGCUCAACCUGGGAACGGCAUCCGGAACUGUCAAGCUAGAGUGCAGGAGAGGAAGGUAGAAUUCCCGGUGUAGCGGUGAAAUGCGUAGAGAUCGGGAGGAAUACCAGUGGCGAAGGCGGCCUUCUGGACUGACACUGACACUGAGGUGCGAAAGCGUGGGUAGCAAACAGGAUUAGAUACCCGUGUAGUC